rnacentral:lncRNA from 1 species
AAUUCCCCAUACGAUACGUAUCCUCACUCACAGACUGUAAUCCAAGCUGCACUUCGAGUUAGAGAGAGAAAGCCUUCCCUAAGGUGAUAGGGAUAAAGCGCUCUACGGACCGCUCAUGGACGAAGCGAUGAAGGAUUCCACUUAACAAUUAGAAAUCCUAUGUGUUAAGCAUUGAUUGCAACAUCGGUUUAGACGGAUCCAACACGUAAUCGACUCGAGGAGAAAUGGUCCCUUCGGAUCUAUUCUAUCGAAGAGAUCUUUCCCUAUUUCAAUUGUCGAUUUCGGUCGGGAGACUACUCUAGAAAGAUUGAUUCCAAAACCACAACUGUACACCACCAAAGGGACCACGAAAGCAAAUAUGAGCCCCGAGACUAGGAUCCAGCCUUCUUCCGAGAGGAAAGAGCGGCUCAAGAAGUGGAACUACUAAGACCCGCGAGGGUCAUCCUUUCUUGAAUCGUAGCUCUCUCACUUAACCUGACCUGCCUACCACUUAGAGGUUCAUUUUCCAGCAAGUACCAAAAGACCAAUGUUUUUCCGGUCUCAACCAAUAAGGAGCUUCUUAAGAGGCGGAGGGAACUGCCCAAGGCUAUAAGGUUAGGAAGGAGAGGAGGGCGUAGCUUUAAAAGUGAAGGAGUUGUCCCUCAGAGAUGAAGGAGCUGUUCGUUCGCCCAGGGCCCGAAGUACUGUGCUAUCCCCCCGCCUAAGGUUUUAGAGGUUGCUGAGUGGAGCACUUCCGGGGAACGGGCCGUGGGCGGGUAGAAAGAAGAGAAGGAACCCGACUUCCCUCGAUAAGGGAGGGACUGUUCAUGUCGCUAUUAGGUAAAUCGAUUCAGAGGUUGAUUCCGGCCCUCAAAACGCACGAGAAUUGUUUUAGGGUGAAUCACCUGUGAGGUACGAAAAACGGACGUUUUUAUGGGCAGACUUUGAAUCCCGUUGGACAAGGACUAGAUCACACCGAGCGCUCUUGGUCAAUCCUCCGAAUGAACAAGCAGACCAAGGAAAGUGCUCGCUUAUAGUCACACCUGUCUUUUGCCCCUGCUCAAGCGUCCCAGCCUUUACCUUAGGGGGAGGUUUGACUACUCAGAAGAGUUAGACUUGGCUUAUGCAGGCGGACAUGUGUAUGGAGAUGCUAAUGUNNN